CACCCACACUCACACUCAUCUCCACCAAAGGCUUUGAGCAGAACUGACAAAAGGACCUCUAAAUAAUGUUUGGAAUUAAGGGAGAGGAGGCAGCUGUGUGCUGGAGGCUGUGGAGUCCCUGCUAUUGAACCAGUCCUGGCUGGACCUGGCUCCUGGUCUUGGCAGGUCUCCUUACAGCUUACUGAUGGCUUCUAUUUUUGUGGAGGGUCCCUCAUCAGCCAGGAUUGGGUGAUCACUGCUGCCUACUGCAAAGUCAAGUGAUUCCAGUGGGCCCCUGGUCUGCUAAAAGGUGGGCCCGUGGACCUUGAUGGGCAUAGCCUUCUGGGACAGUGACGAUCGUGUCCGUUCUAAGCCAGUGGUAUGCACCCAUGUCACUGAAUUCCUCACCUGGGUUGAGGAAAUCUUGGAAAGCCGGCUGAGCCCCCAAGGGCAGGGGUAGCCCCACCCAUCCCCUUGAAAUCUCAAUAAAGCCCACUGGAUGGCAGCAGCUGGCCAACCUCCUUUUCUGUUGUGCACCAACUCAGCUGCAGAGAGGGUGGCACAGUGUGGGGCAGUGGUGGCAAGGCCCCUGACCUGAGAAAUCCUCUAGACCAGGUGUUCUUAAUCUUUUUUGUAUCCUGGACCUCUCUGGCUAUCUGCAUCUCUUCUCAGAACAAUGUUUUUAAAUGCAUAAAAUACACAGGAUUGCAAUAAAAACCAAUUGUAUUGAAUAGUUUUCAAAAUAUUCAUAGUUCCAGGUUCACAGACUUUCUGAGAUCUAUCUGUGGAUCUCAGGUGAAGAACAUCUGCUUGAGGGCUCCUCCUGGGAUAUUUCUUCCAUAAUUCUUUACUGGUCCAUCUAAUGGGGUGGGGGCACAGCAGCUUCAAAAACUGGCCCUGGCUUCACCCACCCACCCAAGGACACGGGCAGGGCCACAUGCACGAGAGCACACACACACAUACACACACACACACACACACACACACACACACAUCACAGACCCAUGCACAGGUAGGUAGGAGCCCCGGAUGGUUUUCUUGGGGGGUGUCUCUGCCCUUCCCCACUUCCACCCCCCAACAACGUGCAGGCUGAGACUUCCCCAGAGGCCAAUGACUGACUUUCCUCUUGGAAGGCUCUGCCUUCCAGGUUGGCAGUCAGGCCUCCAGAAAUCCUGGCCCUCUCAUGCAGGCUCUGGGAAAGCAUGCAGGCUUUGUUCCCUCCCUUCUCCAUAUUACUUCUUGUCUAAGGGCCAUCUUCAAAUAUUUGAAGGGCAGUCAGGUAGAAGAGGGAUUUUACACACACACAUACGCACACACACUACUUAAUAUAAAUAAUGAAAGCAUGUAUGCCUCGUGUGUAAAAACAUACAUGCUUAUCCACAUCCAGGAUUUCUAAUGCAGAUUGAUUAACACUAUUUGCUUUUUUUCUUCUGUUUUGUUUCUUCUUUCUUGUGGUUCCUCUUAUUAGUUCUAAUUCUUC